UACGUAGGUGGCAAGCGUUGUUCGGAAUUACUGGGCGUAAAGCGCGUGUAGGCUGCUUCGAAAGUCGGAUGUGAAAGCCCUGGGCUCAACCUAGGAAGUGCAUUCGAAACUUCGAAGCUUGAGUUCUGGAGAGGAAGGCGGAAUUCUCGGUGUAGAGGUGAAAUUCGUAGAUAUCGAGAGGAACACCGGUGGCGAAGGCGGCCUUCUGGACAGUGACUGACGCUGAGACGCGAAAGCGUGGGGAGCAAACAGG
rnacentral:rRNA from 1 species